CUUCUUCCAGACGUAACAGGCCUGUUGGCAGGAUGGGGCAUUUGGAGGACAUUGGGAAAGGCAGUCCGGAGACCGGCUGGAAAUAACUGUUGGGUCUUUGCCACUGAACCAGAAAGGGAAAGGUAGAGACACUUGCAGUCUCUGUUCCUCCCAUUUUUCUUCAUGUGAGGUCUUCAUCUUCCAGUGUUUGAAGCUUUGUGGUCUGAGCUGGAAAGUGCAGUGUUCAAAGAUCUGAUGCUGGAGUAGCUGAGGUCACCUUGUUCUAUGCUAGUCAUUUCUGCCAGUGUUUGGGAUUUUCACCCUAAGCUGGAGAGAUCCACUUCUUCAUCUUCCAUCUGUUGUGGCAGAGUUCACUUAGGAUCAAAAAAAAUGCUGGAGGUCAGAAACAUCCUGGGGCACUACUUCUGUAGAAUCUACAUCACUGGACUAUUUCUACCUCCUCACUAA
rnacentral:lncRNA from 1 species